rnacentral:snRNA from 1 species
AUCACUUCUCCGCCUUUUGGCUAAGAUCAAGUGUAGUAUCUGUUAGCUGUUACAAUAAUUUAUAAGUUUCUAGUGUUUCAGAUUAUAUUAAUAAAUUAGUCAUUUUCAUAACAUUAGGAUUUUACCACUU